rnacentral:tRNA from 1 species
GGAGGCUGGGGCCCGGAGGGGUGACUGCCUUGCACGCAGGAGGUCCGCGGUUCGAUCCCGCGUAGCUCCACCA